ensembl:snRNA U6 U6 spliceosomal RNA
GUGCUUGUUUCGGCAGCACAUAUAUUAAAAUUGGAACAACACAGAGAAGAUUAACAAGGAUGACACACAAAUUAGUAAAGUGUUCCAUAUUUUU